AUGUGUAUUUCCUAUUCUUUUUAGACAAAGGCUGAAUAGUGUUGUUAGCACUUUGAAUAAGUGCAACAACGAUCAGUUAGCAGAAAUUAAACGUCUCAAGAUUUCCAUUAAAACUGCGGAAUUCCAUAGAAAUAAUUUGGAGCAAAAACUUAGCUGCAUUUUCACCAACGGCCAGAUUGAAAAAUUAAGGGAUGGAAACAAACGGCGGAAUUGGAAAGAAGAAGACAUAGCUAAGUCGAUCACGCUAUAUUCAACGAGCCCAAAAGCGUACAAACUUUUGAGGAGAAACAACUUUCCUCUACCAGGUGUGCGCACUCUGCAAUGGUGGUCAAAAAAAAUUGACGUAGCUCCAGGUGUCAUAGAGCCGGUGAUGAAACUGUUGAAGGCAGCAACUGAGCUAACACAAGCGCAAAAAAUUUGUGUACUCAGUUUUGAUGAAAUGAAGGUCAGAAAGAGUUACUGCUACGAUAGAUCCACUGAUUCGACAUUGCCUCCUGUUAACUAUGUUCAGGUUGCAAUGAUAAGAGGUUUGAUAAGUAAGUGGAAACAGCCUGUAUUCUUCGAUUAUGACUGCAAAAUGACGAAGGAAGUAUUGUUUAGCAUUUUGUCAAACGUUAAAAAGUGCGGUUACAAUAUUGUUGCCAUUGUAAGCGAUUUGGGUGGAUCAAAUAGAGGCUUAUAUAGUGAUCUUGAAAUUAAUGCGGAGAAACCUUGGUUUUCACACAACGGAGACAGGAUUGUGGUUUUUGCUGAUGUCCCCCACUUAAUAAAACUACAAAGAAAUCAUUUUUUGGAUAAGGGCUUUACUAUCAAUGGAAAAAUUGUUAGAAAAGACAUAAUUGUGAAGCUGCUCUCGCUAACGUCCAACGAGCUGUCCACCACGCACAAAAUUUCCCAGACACAUUUGUCUGUGACAGGAGCAGAAAGGCAAAAGGUUAAAUUAGCCACAAAAUUGUUCUCCCACACAAUUGCUCAAGCAAUAACUCGAGCGGCUAGUUUAGGUCUACUAGAUAACGAAAAUUGGGAGGAAUGCCAUUGACUUUUCAAAAUUACAAAUGACUGGUUUGACGUAAUGAAUGUCAGGGUGCCCAAAGAUGGAGUGAGGGAACGCUUGCACGCCUACGGUUUGGCUUUGAACAAACAAAAUAAUGUACUGGAACAGAUGACGGAGCUGGUUUCAUCAAUGAGAGUCAUUGGUAAAAAUGGUUUGCUUCCGUUCCAAAAAGGUAUACUCCAAAGCAAUAAUGCUUUGAAAUUGCUGCUGAAUGACUUAAGACAGCAGCACAAAAUUAAUUACGUUUUGACCUAUCGAUUGAACCAGGACGUUUUGGAAAUUUUUUUUGACGUAAUCAGGUCAAAAGGCGGUCUUCACGAUCACCCUGACAGGCAGGAGUUCAAAUAUAGGCUGCGUUCCUAUAUACUUGGUCACAACGAAGGAGCGAUCACAGAAGAAGGCAAUGUUGAAGUCGACAACACACCAGAUUUGGAAGGAAAUUACUUAUCUCUAACCGGUAAUAUUUUUCAACGUGUGUCAGUUGAUCUGAAUUCCACUGACCUAAUCGAAAAAAAUGAUGACUUGGAGAUUCUCAACAACGACGGACUUGAAAAUUUGGCAGGGUACAUCUGCCACAAACUCGGUAGAGACAACACCGAAAUUUGUGCCAAUUCCGAAAAUUGUUCGUCCCAUACUUGGGUGGAUCACCUUUCAGAAGGAGGACUCUCAAAACCAACAGAUAUGUUGAUGGAGCAUAUGAGAGCCUUGCAAGCAAUAUUUGACGACGUCAAUGGUAAUGAUUUGCAUAUAUGUACAAAUUACGUCCAGAAACACAUAGAUUUAAGUGAUUUUGUAAAUUGUAGCUCGAAAAUAAAAGAAU